GUAGGGAGCGAGCGUUGUUCGGAAUUAUUGGGCGUAAAGAGCGCGUAGGCGGCCAGGUAAGUCUGGUGUGAAAUCCCACAGCUCAACUGUGGAACUGCAUUGGAAACUGCUUGGCUAGAGUGCGGGAGAGGAGAGUGGAAUUCCCAGUGUAGAGGUGAAAUUCGUAGAUAUUGGGAGGAACACCAGUGGCGAAGGCGGCUCUCUGGACCGCAACUGACGCUGAGGCGCGAAAGCUAGGGGAGCGAACGGGAUUAGAUACCCCGGUAGUCCUAGCCGUAAACGAUGGGCACUAGGUGUAGGAGGUAUCGACCCCUUCUGUGCCGUAGCUAACGCAUUAAGUGCCCCGCCUGGGGAGUACGGUCGCAAGACUA
rnacentral:rRNA from 1 species